rnacentral:rRNA from 1 species
UGGGGAAUAUUGCACAAUGGGCGAAAGCCUGAUGCAGCGACGCCGCGUGAGUGAAGAAGUAUUUCGGUAUGUAAAGCUCUAUCAGCAGGGAAGAAAAUGACGGUACCUGACUAAGAAGCCCCGGCUAACUACGUGCCAGCAGCCGCGGUAAUACGUAGGGGGCAAGCGUUAUCCGGAUUUACUGGGUGUAAAGGGAGCGUAGACGGCGAAGCAAGUCUGAAGUGAAAACCCAGGGCUCAACCCUGGGACUGCUUUGGAAACUGUUUUGCUAGAGUGUCGGAGAGGUAAGUGGAAUUCCUAGUGUAGCGGUGAAAUGCGUAGAUAUUAGGAGGAACACCAGUGGCGAAGGCGGCUUCUGGACGAUAACUGACGUUGAGGCUCGAAAGCGUGGGGAGCAAACAGG